UGCGGGGUCGUCUAAUGGUAGGACGCCAGGUUCUGGCCCUGGUAAUCUAGGUUCGAAUCCUAGCCCCGCAGCCA
rnacentral:tRNA from 1 species